GUAUUAAGUUUGAAGGCAUUGAAGCCCAACAACAAACAUUCUUAGACAUACUAUAGGGGGUAUACAUAUAAAAACAUAGACCGGAAGUACAAGGAAAGCUGGCUUUGCGCACAGCAGUCCUCAAACCGAGUUUCCUCGAGAGUUUAUCCAGGUCUACAGAAGGUGCACAGGUGGUAAAAAGUUUGGUGUUAGGCGUGCACAUGCUCCUGAGAGCCAGCAACAACCCAACCAAGCUUAUUCAAUAAUGAUCCUUCCGCAGGUUCACCUACGGAAA
rnacentral:misc_RNA from 1 species